rnacentral:rRNA from 1 species
UACGGAGGGGGCGAGCGUUAUUCGGAAUCAUUGGGCGUAAAGGGCGCGUAGGCGGCCCGCUAAGUCAGGGGUGAAAUCCCUCGGCUCAACCGAGGAAUUGCCUCUGAAACUGGCAGGCUCGAGGCCGGGAGAGGGUGGUGGAAUUCCCAGUGUAGCGGUGAAAUGCGUAGAUACUGGGAGGAACACCAGUGGCGAAGGCGGCCACCUGGACCGGUUCUGACGCUGAGGCGCGAAAGCGUGGGGAGCAAACAGG